CCUGUUAUUUUUUUUUUUUACCUCAUCGUUAUUCUCAAAUGCUGAUGCUGUGUGUGAAUGCUUAAAGAUGAGGUUUGAUGACGUUAUUAUGUCUAUGCUGAGUACUCAUGUUUGUGCUAUUUGGUGUCAAGGUAAUUCAUGCUAGCACACUGGAUACGAAAAAAAGGAUGUGAUAAUCUUCUCACUAGAAAACAAACUCCAGCCUUAUUCCAAUGGCUCCUCUUUGGACUUGGGUGAUUCCAGGCAACCCCUGCUGCAGCGCCCUCCUGCUGGUGGCCUUCAGCUGGCACACGUUCCCGUAUGUCUUGCCGUCGCUGCCGCACACUUCCUGACUCAGUUUGCACUGGCAGAAGCCCUUGAGCAGAAGCUUGCUGGCCGGGUGUCUGCACUCCAGCCCGUCCCCGCAGGGCAGGUCAUCCUUGUGGCCGCACGGCUCGCCCUCCCCCAAGGCGCACACCAGGCAGCAGUUGCAGCGGUCGGGCACAUAGCCGCUGGGGCAGCUGGGGCUUGGGCAGGUACUCACAUCACACCUCGUGGGACACUUUGACCUGGGCUCUGCACCCUCGGACCCUUUAAGGUAAAGCAGCAAGGCUGCACACAGGACAAGCCGCAUUUUCUUCACUGAAGACCUAAGGCUCAAAUUAAAGAAACACUAACACAGGGAAUGAUCUUUGCCGUCUUGGUGUUGCCUUUGCCUGUGAAGGCGGUGGGAACAUUCUCUCCGAUGGCUCGGGAGCUUCACUGCAGAGAGGAGGAGAAGGAGGAGGAGGUCUGUGGAAAAAGGCGGAGCGACUUGCAUGUGUAUAACAUUCCAUUUUAAAGUCUCACUGGCUGUUUUUCACAUAUGUAUCAUACUCCUGCAACACUCAUUAGAAAUAGGAUGUGUCUACAAACAAUGAAGGAAAGAUUCUUCCUCGGAAAGGGGUGUCCAAAGAGUAGCGGGGGGCCAUUUGCGACCCACAGCUAUGUGUCGCAUAGUGUACAAAUACAGUGUGGCCUCAGUUUUUGAUAUUAAUUUGCUCCAAAAGGUCAGAUGAAAGCAGAAACAUUGAAAACCAAAGCACUUUUUUCUAUCAGAAGUAAUUUAAAUCUAACACCCAGAAAUAUGAACAAAAAAACCCCACAUUUUAUCGAGAAUAAUUAUACCGUAGUUUUACUGUGUUAAAGGUUCCUACGUUUACAUUACAAUGCUUUACCUUCCUCCUCCUUUCUUGAAUUCAGUCGUGUUCCUCACCUUAAAAAAAAAAAACACAACAACAACACUGAGAAAGUACACUGUGCACUUCAAUGCCUCAUCAGCACACGGCACAGUGGACAAAGUGGUUGUUCAUUGUUCUGUGUGCGCACAUAAACCACACACACACACACACACACAUAAUAAAGAUGAUUAAAAGAUUCCCUGGCUGAAAUCUGUCUACAGUAUAGUGUCCCAACUUUAAAAAAAACUACUAUCCAUUCUUCCCAAAGACUGAGUCACCAAUGUGUGCUAGCUGUGUGCACUGUUUGGCCAUACGAUAAUCGAGAAAGUGUGCACAAACACAUAUUUUUGGCAAUAAUUUUGGUCAAAAAAUGAAUCAUACGAAAACAGGGCAGGUUGCACUGUACAGUUUAAUAAGAAAACUAACAAAACAGUUGAAAAAAAGAGCCAAAAGGUGUAAUGAAGGGGUGUCCAAAGCAGGGGCGGACUUACCAUUAGGCAAACGGGCCCCAAAAUUUUCAAGGGCCAAUCAACAUCUCAUAAAAACGAUUAAUUUUGAUUUAAAGUACAUAUUUUAGCCUCAAUUCACAUGCAUAAAUCUACAUCAAAAUGCGUAAUCUAUCGUGAUCGAAGAUGUGAGUAUUAAAAGCGGUAAACUAUAUCAAAUGUUGCUUAAUUUUCUCAUCAAUUACAGUAAAAGCGUUGAGGUGAUUCACUUGUUUGGUAAUAGUAAUCUGCCAGGAGGAUUUUAUAUGGAACAGGGAAUAGAAUUUUCUCAUUCACACUUGUUAGUAGAUGAUAAACGUUAACAUUUAAAAUCGUUUUUUGGGGGGUGGUUAAGUACACAUGGCAAUGCAACUGGCAACUUUAGCUGAAAGAUAACUGUUAAGAGAUUUCAAAAGCAGGAAAAAGUUGUCUAAAGUACAUAGGCACCUUUUGUAAAACUUGAAAUUAAAUGUGUGUGUUUAAUAAAUAAAAAGGUAAAUAGUAACAAGUUUGGACAUCCCUGUCUUAGAUGUAUAUACUAUACUAAGCAGUAGAUUUAGCAUGUAGCGCUUAAAGGAGCCAAAACAUGUCCUCAUUCUGUCAAAGAUGAAUGACCUCAUGUUUUGACAAGGGACUGACUCCUGUCCCCUGCUGGCCUGCACUCACACUGCUCACAUGCAUUUCAUGUACCAUAACCUCAUAAUACAAACACUGCAUGAUGGCUGAUGACUUUGCUAACAUAGUGGCUUAUUUUGUUUCAUUCUGUUUUAUAACUGUUGUGAAAUGUGGAGAUUAUCAUGAAUCACUUGUCAGGAGGAGCUGCAAGAUUUUGUUUGCUUAUUUGAAUGUACCUAGUGUCUUUCAGCAGGGAUUCUCAACUGGGGUUGAGAACCCACAGGGAAUCGUGAUUAGGGGUCCACAUUUUUUUUUUGUAGUAAAUGAAUGAAGUUAGGGUGUAUUGUUAAAAAGUAUCAAUAGGAACAAACAUUGUGAACCAAUAACUGUUACUUACAUUAGGGUUAGUGAAUCUGUGCGACGCCUACUGAUUAAAAUAGCACAAUGGACAAAUAUUUUAAGUCCUCAACUCAUCAAGAGAUGGAAAGGCAAAAGUGUCUCAGCUUGGAAAAAUAGGAGGACAGUUAUAUGGAGUUUGGUUAUAUUGAGAAUAAUGACGUAAGGCCAAAACGUGUCAUCAAGUAAAGGCUUAAUUAACACUGUUACAAAUGUUCACUUUUCCGUCACUUUUUGUAAUGUUAAUUAACAUCCUGUACUUUUCCUGUCUAUGGAAGGACGACAGUGAAAAGCACCUUCCAGCUCAGGCACUCCUUCAGGAUGAAGCAAGUAGUGUAAGCGCCUCCACGUCUGACAUUUCUGCGUAUUUUAUUGUCCCAUUAGUAAGAAUUAUUAUAUGACAUUUACAUUAAAGACAUUACACAGACUGUAGGAAGUCAUGGUGUAUAUACUGUAAUCAGUGUUUCCGCAACAUAUAAUUGGCGACAUGCUGACAAACAGAAACUGUCAGAUCCAACUCAGUGCACGCAUGAGUGCACUCAGCCGGUAGGCAGGGCUUGCGCACUCAGCUGAGAAGAGAUGCAUGCCUCAUCUUAGGUUUCUUUCCUGUAUUUGAUAAGAAAUUUGCAAAUUCUGCCAUUUUUACUCAUGAAAAUGUUUUGAAUGAUUGGAAUCAUACAUGCAAUACAUUUAUAUAACAGGGCGUAUAUAUUUUUUUAUUGUUAUGUUAAAGUGGAACUAAUGCUUUCAUGCUUUAAACACAAAUAUGGUUUUCUUUAAUGGGAACCAUAAUAAUCACUGGCCAGGCUUGACCGUGGUGGCUUAAUAUUAUCUUUGGCAUCAGGAACAAUCGGAACAAUACCAAAAAGUGUAAAAAUCCCCUUGGUCCCAAAAUGACUUCACUUUGUGGACAUGUUGUUUUGGACAGGGUCUCAUGUGUUAUAACCGUAACAAGAUGCCACGACAAGCGAGCACACAUGCGUCACAGAGGCCAACUGGAGUCCACGCACCGACGUUUGUUUGGGCAGACGAGCGCUGGCUUUUCCUCUCUAUGGAAAGACAAGCACCUUCCAGCUGACUUACGACCCCGCCCCUUCACGGAAAGAUGGAGUACUGCAGCGCGUCUGUGUAUGCUAUUUCUCAGUAUUUUAUUGUCCCAUAAGCAAGAAUAAUGACGCCACUCUUACAUUAAAUACAUUACACGGGCUGCAGAUAAUUGCUCAGCCUGAUGUUGGCACACCUGUUGAUGGUGCCAGGUAGAGAUUGAUGCGGUACAGUGUUGCCAGAUGGGAAAUGCCAAAUUAUCAUAUAUUGAGGAAAAUUAUUAACGCGAUUUGACCAUCUGCUACAGUAAACCAUUACCACAGCACUAUUGGAAAAAAAAGCUGCCAGGGGCAGAACAGCACCCCCACCUGGCACAACAUCAGGCGCAGUGCAGGAUCCUGUUUGUGUUUGCCGGCAGCCAUGUAUUGAAGGCGUCAAAUUAUUGUACAUUAUGGGACUUUUGGAUUUAUUGAUUGUACAUUGGGAGACAUUAUCGUACAAAUGCGAGAGUUAUUGUACACAAUCCAGGUGAUUUUUAACUUAAGGAUGUCGGGCGACGAGAGCAAUUUCUGGUCUCUCGCAGAAUUUAGAGUUAGCAGCUCUAUUGUCCAGUUCCUUGAACAAGUACUUUGGCUUCUUCCAGUCCCCUCUUUUAACUUACAGAUUUUGCAGUUGGUGCUUCACGUGUCUGUGUCGUUUUGUCAGAUGUUCAUUCAUGUAGACACUUGUUCUCUCCAUCUGUCUGCCUUGUUUCAGCCAUGGCAUUUUGUGUUUUUUGUUGGUGCAACUUAUGAUUAUGACAUAAUGCACGGUGCUAUAAUUGCUUCCAUACAGUGGAAUGCACGUCUUGAUCAUCUAUUUGGGUCUCCUCUGCCCUGGCCACGUUUUGAGUCUUUGUAUCCUUUAAAUUAAGCAGAUUUUGCGAAGCUUAUGUUCAUCUAUGUGGUAUAAAUUAGGAAAAAUGUACAAACAUGCUCACUAGGAAUAAAAAUGUGUGCCUUGAUAUCCGACCAUUUAAAAAAACGAAUUUGCCACGGUGCCCCUCCGUUCCACUGACGCUGUUGACAGUGGACGCUACUUGCACUCGCUCAUCUUCUUCUUGUGCGUGAUGCCACUGCUGUGUCAUCCAAAUGUUAUAUUUUCACGGGCCUCCAGAUCUCCAAGAAGGAUUUCCACCCCGGUUUUGAUGAAGUUCCUCUUAAUCGUCUUCGGCUUUUCAGCAGCCAUGAUUCAGAAGAACUAAGCGAAAUACAAUAAAGAGUCAUUGAAUACGGACGCCGUAUUCAUGCCAUUCACGCCACUUUGCGUUGACCAUUUAUGGCGAAUUGAAGGCUUGGAGAAGGCGUGACUUGGGGUGGAGUUGGGUACUCACACUUAGACAGCAGGUGAAGCACAAAUUGCGUGGAUGUGUGCGUACGCCACUUUUUUUUUUAGGUCUGAAUAUUUUUGUGCGUACGCACAUUUUGGGUUUCUGGCGUACGCAGACUUUUAGUUAGAUUUCCACACAGUGCCAGAAGUGCCUGAAGCCAUUUUAUGGAGCUAGUAUUGUAGAGGUCUCCAGUAUUGAAUUUCUAUCUUGUUAAUCUUCUUUGCAUUCAUGUUUUCCGUCUCUUUGGACCUUUCCCCUGGACCAAGACAUGUGUUCCUGGCUUGGGCAUGCUGGCAUUUUAAUGUUCAUUGUUUAGAUCUCUACAGCAAUAAGUAGCUUAUUAUAUUUUUCCUUUCUGUAUUUUUUUUAUUUUGUAAGAAUGUGUGCUUAUAUAUUUACAAUUACAUAAUUGUUAUCCUUCUCUAAGAUAUAAUUAAAACGAAGUGCACUCACACACAGCUUUUUGUUUGGCAACAUUUCUUUACUUUGUUGUUGGUGAUGUUUGGGCACCAUAACUUGGAUACACAACUUGACA